rnacentral:rRNA from 1 species
UAGGGAAUCUUCCACAAUGGACGAAAGUCUGAUGGAGCAACGCCGCGUGAGUGAUGAAGGGUUUCGGCUCGUAAAACUCUGUUGUUGGAGAAGAACGGGUGUCAGAGUAACUGUUGACAUCGUGACGGUAUCCAACCAGAAAGCCACGGCUAACUACGUGCCAGCAGCCGCGGUAAUACGUAGGUGGCAAGCGUUGUCCGGAUUUAUUGGGCGUAAAGCGAGCGCAGGCGGUUUUUUAGGUCUGAUGUGAAAGCCUUCGGCUUAACCGGAGAAGUGCAUCGGAAACCGGGAGACUUGAGUGCAGAAGAGGACAGUGGAACUCCAUGUGUAGCGGUGAAAUGCGUAGAUAUAUGGAAGAACACCAGUGGCGAAGGCGGCUGUCUGGUCUGCAACUGACGCUGAGGCUCGAAAGCAUGGGUAGCGAACAGGAUUAGAUAC